GUGCUCGCUUCAGCAGCAUACAUACUAAAAAGUUGGAACAAUACAGAGAAGAUUAGCAUGGCCCCUGUGCAAGGACGACGAAAAUUCAUGAAGUGUUCCAUAUCGAU
ensembl:snRNA U6 U6 spliceosomal RNA